CUAUGCGCCUUGCCCAGCCCGCUCAGAAACUUAAAGGAAUUGACGGGGGCCCGCACAAGCGGUGGAGCAUGUGGUUCAAUUCGACGCAACGCGAAGAACCUUACCUGGGCUAGACAACAGUGGACCGUCCUAGAGAUAGGAUUUUCCCUUCGGGGACCGCUGGUUCAGGUGCUGCAUGGCUGUCGUCAGCUCGUGCCGUGAGGUGUUGGGUUAAGUCCCGCAACGAGCGCAACCCUCGUACUUAGUUGCCACCAUUCAGUUGGGCACUCUAGGUAGACUGCCGGCGUUAAGCCGGAGGAAGGUGGGGACGACGUCAAGUCAUCAUGGCCCUUAUGCCCAGGGCCACACACGUGCUACAAUGGGCGGCACAAAGGGUCGCGAACCCGCGAGGGGGAGCCAAUCCCAAAAAGCCGUUCUCAGUUCGGAUUGGAGUCUGCAACUCGACUCCAUGAAGUUGGAAUCGCUAGUAAUCGCGGAUCAGCUAUAGUGCGUUGAAUACGUUCUCGGGCCUU
rnacentral:rRNA from 1 species